UGGCGAACGGGUGAGUAACGCGUGAGGAACCUGCCUCAAAGAGGGGGACAACAGUUGGAAACGACUGCUAAUACCGCAUAAGCCCACGGCUCGGCAUCGAGCAGAGGGAAAAGGAGCAAUCCGCUUUGAGAUGGCCUCGCGUCCGAUUAGCCAGUUGGCGGGGUAACGGCCCACCAAAGCGACGAUGGAUAGGGGUUCUGAGAGGAAGGUCCCCCACAUUGGAACUGAGACACGGUCCAA
rnacentral:rRNA from 1 species